ensembl:snRNA U6 U6 spliceosomal RNA
GUACUCGCUUUGGAAGCACAUACACUAAAAUUGGAACGACACAGAGAAGACUAGCAUGGCCCCUGCACAAAUCAAGAGUGUAAACCUAAAUCUAUCUACAUUUUA